GAAUGAGGGAUGGUUGCAGGAUGAAACUGCUCCACCUCAGAUCAUCAGGCAUUAGAUCCCCAUAAGGAGCAGGCAACCUAGAUCCCUCGUGGGAGCAGUUAACAAUACGGUUUGCACUCCUAUGAGAAUCUAAUGCUGCCACUGAUCUGACAGGACGCAGAGCUCAGCUGUGAUGCUCACUCACCUGCCGCUCACCUGCCGCUCACCUCCUGCUGUGCAGCCCAGUUCCUAACAAGCCACGGACCACUGGUCCAUGGCCCCGGGAGUUGGGGACCCCUGCACUAAACCUUGAUGCUGAAUAUUUAGUUUGUUUAUGUUUUUGUCUUAUCACAGUAUGCUUGUUUCCUGAGCUGCGGCUUGAAUGAUACCAACUCCCCUGCCAUGUUGAGGAACUUUUCUUGCUCAGUGUGUACAUAACCAGCCAGAUCUUCCAACAAUACAACAGCAACAGCAGCUGAUCACCUCUGAUGUUUGAAUCCAAGUCACCUUGAGGGAUACAGGGCUAUAGUCACUGUUGAUAGGGUCCUGCCCUCAAAAGUACCACUAUCUAGCUGGGGAGAUAGAAUAUCUACAUUUAAAGAUAGACAACCAUGAAGGGCCACAAAUAUGAGGUAUCAUAUGG
rnacentral:lncRNA from 1 species